rnacentral:rRNA from 1 species
GAUGAACGCUGACAGAAUGCUUAACACAUGCAAGUCAACUUGAACUUCGGUUUGGGUGGCGGACGGGUGAGUAACGCGUAAAGAACUUGCCUCACAGAUAGGGACAACAUUUGGAAACGAAUGCUAAUACCUGAUAUUAUGAUUUUAGGGCAUCCUAGAAUUAUGAAAGCUAUAUGCACUGUGAGAGAGCUUUGCGUCCCAUUAGCUAGUUGGAGAGGUAACGGCUCACCAAGGCGAUGAUGGGUAGCCGGCCUGAGAGGGUGAUCGGCCACAAGGGGACUGAGACACGGCCCUUACUCCUACGGGAGGCAGCAGUGGGGAAUAUUGGACAAUGGACCAAGAGUCUGAUCCAGCAAUUCUGUGUGCACGAUGAAGUUUUUCGGAAUGUAAAGUGCUUUCAGUUGGGAAGAAAAAAAUGACGGUACCAACAGAAGAAGUGACGGCUAAAUACGUGCCAGCAGCCGCGGUAAUACGUAUGUCACAAGCGUUAUCCGGAUUUAUUGGGCGUAAAGCGCGUCUAGGUGGUUAUAUAAGUCUGAUGUGAAAAUGCAGGGCUCAACUCUGUAUUGCGUUGGAAACUGUGUAACUAGAGUACUGGAGAGGUAAGCGGAACUACAAGUGUAGAGGUGAAAUUCGUAGAUAUUUGUAGGAAUGUCGAUGGGGAAGCCAGCUUACUGGACAGAUACUGACGCUGAAGCGCGAAAGCGUGGGUAGCAAACAGG